UUCUUUCCUUGGUCAGGCUCCAAGAUUAAGUUAUGUUCUGCGGUCUGUUUAGAAGUGGUGAAUUUACAGCUCACAGAAACUUAAUACGAUAUAGUGUCUGGCUUUUGUUUGAAAUCUAGUGUCGCAAAAUGCCUUUUUAUUGAGUUUCCUCUUAGCAAAAUGCUCCUUGUGAAUUUAAGCUGGGUUUUAUU